GAGAUACUAGUAAAAACUAUUACAUUACCUUGUCAAGGUAAAAUUGCGGGUUGGAGCCCCACGUGUCUCA
rnacentral:tRNA from 1 species